rnacentral:rRNA from 1 species
AUCCGGGUUGCGGACAGUGUCUGGUGGGUAGUUUGACUGGGGCGGUCUCCUCCUAAAGAGUAACGGAGGAGCACGAAGGUUAGCUAAUCCUGGUCGGACAUCAGGAGGUUAGUGCAAUGGCAUAAGCUAGCUUGACUGCGAGCGUGACGGCGCGAGCAGGUGCGAAAGCAGGUCAUAGUGAUCCGGUGGUUCUGAAUGGAAGGGCCAUCGCUCAACGGAUAAAAGGUACUCCGGGGAUAACAGGCUGAUACCGCCCAAGAGUUCAUAUCGACGGCGGUGUUUGGCACCUCGAUGUCGGCUCAUCACAUCCUGGGGCUGAAGUAGGUCCCAAGGGUAUGGCUGUUCGCCAUUUAAAGUGGUACGCGAGCUGGGUUUAGAACGUCGUGAGACAGUUCGGUCCCUAUCUGCCGUGGGCGCUGGAGAAUUGAGGGGGGCUGCUCCUAGUACGAGAGGACCGGAGUGGACGCAUCACUGGUGUUCGGGUUGUCAUGCCAAUGGCAUUGCCCGGUAGCUAAAUGCGGAAGAGAUAAGUGCUGAAAGCAUCUAAGCACGAAACUUGCCCCGAGAUGAGUUCUCCCUGACCCUUUAAGGGUCCUGAAGGAACGUU